GUGUAUCUAUAAUUAUAUUUUAUAAAGAUAUAAUAUUUAGUACUGUUUUAUUUAAUCAUUAACAUCAACAGGUAUUCUCGGGUCAUAAAAAUGGCAUCAGGCAUGUUACGUUUUUCAAUAAUGAUACUGCAUUAAUUACCUGUGGCGAUGACAAAACAUUGAGAGUUUGGGACAGAAAGAGUGGUCAAGAAGUAAGAAGGUUAGAUUUUCCAGCAAUUCCAAAUUCUAUGGAAGUGUCAAGAGAUGGGAACAUUAUUACCACAACUCACUCCAACAUAGUCACUUUUUGGAAUAGCAGAGAGUAUGUCCAUUUCUUUCUGUUUUACCAUAACGCGUACAGCAUAUCUUAAAAUAUAAAAUAAAUGAAGUCAGCAAAACAAGUUCAAGGGGAGGGAUACCCCAGUACCGGCGCAGACGUGGGUGGACAAGCGGGCCCCGCUGUGUCGUUAGCUUGUGACCGUGGCCGGAUGGGGGUGGACCACCAGGCCCCCAUUCAUGUUAUCACGACUGGUGAGGAGGAAGAAGGAGACAUUGAAAUGGAAGAGGCUCCGAUAGAGCAAGCUACAUCAAAAUUGAUAAAUGACAAAUUGAUAAAUGACUACGAACUAUUGUCUUUUUACAAAAUACAGACUCUGUAAGCUAUAACUGGAUCGUGUUACUCCUUAACAUCAGUGAGGUAUUGGCAGACUUCAUCCUGGUACUGCUUAACUGCCACUUUUAUUCAACUUUGUAUCCGAGGGUGCACAAUUGUUUCCAAAUAGACACAAUCGACGACGUAGGAAGCAACGAUAAAAUCGAGAUGUGUGACAUGGUCCAGCAAUGAGUCGCCCGACACAGCGAGAUGCCGGGUAUUCAACCGCCUUGCUUGGUGCAGCCGCUUAUGCAGGUGAGGCCGAAUCCUCUCUCACGACCCUUCUCGGCUACUUACGGCUUGACCUCCGGCGAACAAUAGAUCCUCUAGGAAUAGGUGAGUGACACGCGAGCUAGAAAGUUCAGACGACAAGCGUCGAGAGAAACUGCGAUCUCCGUGUCUACAUUUCAGAGAUGCACGAGCUCGAGGUGCAGGUGUUUCUGUGUCAGCAAAAUAAAGCAAGUCGGAUUCUCUCCCAUCUCGCUUUUCCGCUUCCCCUUUCAAUUCUCGAAGAUGCUCCAGGCGUAAUUCGUGGUUGCGAUCUGAAUGCCUACGAGAUUCUUGUGAUGAAUAAUUGCAAUAAGUGCCUUGUGUAUAUAAGGGUUAUAAGGUGGUUUAUUUUGUGAUUAAAUAUGACAACUCUACUGUA